rnacentral:lncRNA from 1 species
GGGUCAGCGGCUCCUGUGGCAUCUGGCCAAGGACAAUGUGCUGAGAAGUUUCCCCUGAAAAAAUCAGAAACAAAACUCACCUCAGGAGAGGCCCCUGCACCCUCCAAGAGGAAGUGGGAGUCACGUGAGGCUCGUCUUGAUUGGGGUUCCUGGAGAGGAGGCCCCCUCUCCCCAGGUGGGGGCUCCUGUUUCCCCUGCUCUGCUCUGAGGUCCCCAGGGUCCAGUCCCCUCCCCACCCUAUCCUGGAGCUUGUCAAGGCCACCAGAGACCUGCUCCCUGUGCCGUCUCAGACUGGACUCUGGGGUCUCCGGUGCCUCCUCUGAUUCUGCACCUCGGUGCAGCCUCUGGCCUGGCUGCGCUCUGAGGAGCUCCCUGUGGCCACCGAGCCCUUGGAACGUGGCCAGUUCCAUUCUCAAACUGCUGUGAGUGCAAAGCUCAUGCUGGAUUUUGAAGAUUUGGUGAGAAAAAAAAUUUCUUUGUAAAAUGUCAGUAUUUCAUCAAUAGUAUAUUUUGUUGAUGAUAUGUUGAGAAACUAUUUUGGAUAUGUUUGUUUAAGUAGAUUGCUGGUGUGAGCCACCGCGCCCGGCCUGUCUUCUUCUUCCUAAGUAAGUGAAGGAAAUAAUGUAUACAGUGGUCCAUUUCCAAGACAAAGUGCCUUAAAUCAGCUUAGGUCAGCAAACUACAGAAGAAACAGGAUAUACUAGGCCCCUGCUUGGAUAGCUGAUGCCUUCUUGUCAGCCUUCUCCCUCCCCUUCUCCCUCCACUUAGUUGCCCUUACCCAAACCAGGGAAGUUUCGUCUAAGAUAAAAGUUUACUAGCCUGCAAAA